rfam:Flavobacterium plurextorum strain CCTG 60112 WGS0045_contig_32, whole genome shotgun sequence.
AAUCAGCCCUGAUCGAAACGGCAUCCUUUUGUUGCGGUCCCGAGGCUUCGGGACGCAACAAAAGAUAUAGUGUAGAGCAGGACAAAAG